ACCUCGAUCAGGUAGGACUACCCGCUGAACUUAAGCAU
rnacentral:rRNA from 1 species